UGUUCUUUGAUAUGAAAAUGUCAACCAUGUGAAGAGAGGUGUCAACUUGCAUGGAGCGUGGCUAAACAAGGCUUAUUGCCUGAUGAAACGAUAGUUUAUCAGGAAGAAGUUGGAUAUAUAGCAAUAUAUAUCCUGAAUGAGGAAACCUCAAACUUAACCACGUGUGCAUACCUUGAAAUAUGUAAAGGAACUGAACUUGUCGUGUCUGCAAUAAAAAGUCGUGGAAACACGUCCUCUCCUACAAGCGAUAUAGUGGGAGCUAUAUAAAGCCAAUGUAGGAAAUACCCAACAAAGACAUUGCACGUGAUGUGUAGAAAUACACUAUAAGACAAGUAGCAGGUACAAGUAGCUCAGAGUGCGUAGAGGAACGAUUUCUACAGAUAACGAAGCUAACAGGAAAUUAUUAGAUCUGAAAGACGAGUGAAAGUUGGGGGUAUUAUUCCCCUCGUUGGUUCAAAAGGGUAAGAAGCUAUAAGGUCGCAACUUAUAGCUCAGACUUAUUCUCAAUGUGUCUGAAUAUACACGAUCAAGUGUUAUGUAUGGCGAAAGUCAGAUAUUUUCAUAUUAAUGGC
ncrna:unclassified sequences ROOL RNA